UACGGGGGGAGCAAGCGUUGUCCGGAUUUAUUGGGCGUAAAGAGCUCGUAGGCGGCUUGUCGCGUCGAACGUGAAAUCCCGAGGCUCAACCUCGUGACUGCAUCCGAUACUGCCCGACUAGAGGUAGGUAGGGGAGAUCGGAAUUCCUGGUGUAGCGGUGAAAUGCGCAGAUAUCAGGAGGAACACCGGUGGCGAAGGCGGAUCUCUGGGCCUUACCUGACGCUGAGGCGCGAAAGCUAGGGGAGCGAACAGG
rnacentral:rRNA from 1 species